rnacentral:rRNA from 1 species
GAUGAACGCUGGCGGCGUGCCUAAUACAUGCAAGUCGAGCGAACAGACGAGGAGCUUGCUCCUCUGACGUUAGCGGCGGACGGGUGAGUAACACGUGGAUAACCUACCUAUAAGACUGGGAUAAAUUCGGGAAACCGGAGCUAAUACCGGAUAAUAUAUUUAACCGCAUUGUUCAAUAGUGAAAGACGGGUUUGCUGUCACUUAUAGAUGGAUCCGCGCCGCAUUAGCUAGUUGGUAAGGUAACGGCUUACCAAGGCAACGAUGCGUAGCCGACCUGAGAGGGUGAUCGGCCACACUGGAACUGAGACACGGUCCAGACUCCUACGGGAGGCAGCAGUAGGGAAUCUUCCGCAAUGGGCGAAAGCCUGACGGAGCAACGCCGCGUGAGUGAUGAAGGUCUUCGGAUCGUAAAACUCUGUUAUUAGGGAAGAACAAAUGUGUAAGUAACUAUGCACGUCUUGACGGUACCUAAUCAGAAAGCCACGGCUAACUACGUG